GGUGACCUCUACCCACUCUGGAUGCUUGUGGUCCUGCUGGCUGCUCUGUGCCCCAGAUGGAAGGUAAAACCAAGUCUGAAUAAAUCUUAAAACAAACGUUUAGUAUCUCGCACAAUUUCUGGAAGACGAGAAUCUGGGAGCAGCUGGCUAGCGUGCUGAGUGUGUCACACAGUUGCAGUCAAUCUAUCAGCAGGUUCGCAGCAUCUCAAGGUCUGACCAGGGCUGCAGAAUCUGCUUCCAAGAUGACCCACUUGGAUCGGGACAGCAGCAGCUCCUCCCUGGCUGGCGGCAGAUUUCAGUGCCCUGCUACAUGGGCCUCUGAGUAGGCUGCGUCGGCAUCCUCGCAACGUGGCAACUACCUUCUUCCAGAGUAAAGUAUUUGAGAGAGCCAGAGCGAGAGCAAGAGUGAGAGCGCGUGCGUGAGAGAGAACACCUUGAAGACAGAGGAGACUCUGCCUGAGGCCUUACCCAUGAGACAGGCUAGAAGCGCUGGAGCUACUUGCAGUCGUACCCAACAAUGAGGAGCGAGAGAUUACAAAUAUCUCAGCUUCAGGGGCCCUUGAAUGGGGCAACUUGUACCCACACUGUCUUCAAGAGUUCCCCACAGAACGGAGCCCCCAUUGCUCACAGGGAUGAUCUCUUCAUUGAUACACUCUGUAUUGGGUUCCAUUCCUCCUUUGUCACUUUCCUAUCCCCUACCUGCCAAAUAAACUACCCACACGUACAUCCUUGUCUCAGGUCAGCAUCCGGGGUAAGCCACUGUUAGAAAGAAAACCACAGGCCCCAAAUGAUGUCACUUAUCCAAGUCUCCAAGCCAGGGCUUAAUAAUACCUAACUUAACUGUAGUUUCAACCUCCCAUAGAAAGGUAAGUCUUAACUGAUGAAGGAGCAUGAGGCAGGCUGAGGGGUAAAACACAAGUCAGCACCCUCACCCCCACCCCAGGUGGGAUCUGUGUGAUAUUCCUGGGACACUCCCGGCUACCCAAGAACAAAGAGGUUUAAAUGCUUGCCAUGGUAAUGUGGAAAACUAAGGCAAACGAAAAAUUGAAUUCCCUUUCUGCCUACAGCCCCUUGACAAGUCCUUGAGACUGGCAGAGUGACCUCCGUCUAGGAGCUCAGCUGCCUCAAGGAUGACACUUUGCUGGGGGCAAAAGAGAUGGUAGGUUAAUAUUGUCCCAACCUUGAGGAUCUUGUAAGCCUCCUUCCUUUAUCGCAACCUUUAAUAAAAUCACUUUUGC